CUUGGUCAUUUAGAGGAAGUAAAAGUCGUAACAAGGUCUCCGUUGGUGAACCAGCGGAGGGAUCAUUACAGAGUUGCAAAACUCCCUAAACCAUUGUGAACGUUACCUAUACCGUUGCUUCGGCGGGCGGCCCCGGGGUUUACCCCCCGGGCGCCCCUGGGCCCCACCGCGGGCGCCCGCCGGAGGUCACCAAACUCUUGAUAAUUUAUGGCCUCUCUGAGUCUUCUGUACUGAAUAAGUCAAAACUUUCAACAACGGAUCUCUUGGUUCUGGCAUCGAUGAAGAACGCAGCGAAAUGCGAUAAGUAAUGUGAAUUGCAGAAUUCAGUGAAUCAUCGAAUCUUUGAACGCACAUUGCGCCCGCCAGCAUUCUGGCGGGCAUGCCUGUUCGAGCGUCAUUUCAACCAUCAAGCCCCCGGGCUUGUGUUGGGGACCUGCGGCUGCCGCAGGCCCUGAAAAGCAGUGGCGGGCUCGCUGUCGCACCGAGCGUAGUAGCAUACAUCUCGCUCUGGUCGCGCCGCGGGUUCCGGCCGUUAAACCACCUUUUUAACCCAAGGUUGACCUCGGAUCAGGUAGGAAGACCCGCUGAACUUAAGCAUAUCAAUAAGCGGAGGA
rnacentral:rRNA from 1 species